CGUCUGCGCAUCAGCGGCGUCACAGACGCGUGGGGCUCGCGGGGAGCCGGGCUGGGGCCGUCCGUGUCCCGCGGGGCUCUGGGCGGCCGCUCGACCGAGGACCCACGACUCCGCCCCGACCCCGCCGUGUUCGCGAGACCCGGAGACCCCUUCGCGCCUUCCAGGACCGCCCCUUUCGCGACGCUGCGUGCUGUGCUUGGUCCUGGCGGCCAAGAGCGGCGGUGGCAAGGGGACCGCCCUGGCCCGAGACGCGGCCUGGCCUCGCAGCGUCGCUUGGGCACAGCCUCUCUAGGCCCCUUCGUCCUCGGUCGCGGAGGGACGCCAUUAAACGGCCACGCCGGGCUCAACUGGGACGCGGCCCACGGCGCCCAACCAGGGCCUGGGGGAGGGAAGCCGGGGCGACUCCUGGGUCCUUCCAGGACCCUUGCGCAGGCCUCAUUCUCUCCCCGGAGGUCCCCUUCCCGCUGCCCUGAGGCCACUCUCCUGCCAGCAGCUGCUGGGCCGGCUCUCGGGAGAAUGCCUUGGCGUCAAGCUUAUCAGGCUGCAGGGCGGGACGCGAGUGCUGAGGGCAGCCAGACUCCCGCUCUUAGGUAAGUGACUCUGGAUUAUCCAGACCAUUGACCGAGCCCUGCUCCGUGCCAGUGCUUCCUGGCCUGAGGACACGACUCUCACAUCCAGACAGACCUGAGCAGCUAACGCAAGUGCGCAGAAGCUCGCCAAGUGCCCAGAAGAGCCAAGAGGCGAGCCAUGAAUCCCCCCUGGAGGAGAAGAGGAUGGGGAGGGCCAAACAGAAAGAACUGAAACUGGAGGCAUCUGUUCAGGCACCCAGAGAAAGCCUCACGCGCACAAAGCAGCAAACAGAACAAACCCCAGUGCCAUCAUGGAGCCCAGACUUGAGCACACAGGGACCCUGGCGUGGAGCACGAGGGUGCCAAGGCCCGCAGGUGGCUGACUUGUGUGCUCUGGUGCCAUGCUCAGAUUUGAUGGGAUGACCCUGCAAUUGCCUGCUUUGUGAGCCACACAGGCCUGGGUCAAAAAGACGACGGACCACCAGCCUGGGCAACACACAAAGCGAAACCUGUCUCCACUUAAAAGAUAAUUAGGGUGUGGUGGUGUGUGCUUGUGGUCCCUGCUACUUGGGAGGCAGAGGCAGGAGCAUCACUUGAGCCCGGGAGGUUGAGGCUGCAGUGAGCUGGGAUGGCACAUGGCGCUCCAGCCUGGGUGACUGAGUCCGUCUCAAAAAAAGAAUGGGCGGCCGGACAGGUGAAAAUAACAAUGGACGGGGCCCUGGGAGAAGUUCCCGCCUUUCUCUGGGCCACCACCUCCAGGUUACUGGACUGCCAGCAGGUAGAGGGGCCAGGGUGCCAUCCGGGGGGCCGCUGAGGGGGUCCAGACUUCCUAUACCUGCCCUUCAGCAGAGGCAGGCUGGGGCGGUCCUCAUGUGAGGGGCUCUGCACCCACAUCCGGGGGGCCGCUGAGGGGGUCCAGCCUUCCUAUACCUGCCCUUCAGCAGAGGCAGGAUGGGGCGGUCCUCAUGUGAGGGGCUCUGCACCCACGUCCGGGGCUCUUGUUCCAGGGCAGGGGCAGAGCCGCUCCUCUCUAUCCUGCCGGGCAAGACUCCUUGGUGCUCUUCCAUCGGGCAGAACUGACCAAGACUCAGAACAUUCAAUGUCAGGAGCCAGCUGGGGACAGGAUCUGCCUUGGGAGACUUGGCAGGCCCAGUGACCAUCCCACUGCACAGCUGGGGGUGGGGGCGACACUCCAGAGGGACACGUUCGGGCCUCCUGGGGGGUGCAGGCUUCUGGGCACGUCCACCAGGCAUGCACACCGGCCACCCCACCCUGCUCUCGCUCACCCACAAGGUCUCUGGCAGCCCUUCCGGGAAUGUUUCCAUUUCAUCCUGUGUCCUCCUGUCUCAAACUCCUUUGGGCUGGAGACCCCAGUGGGUCAUCGAGGUGGGGCCAGCUGGACUGUGGACAGCCCCAUGUUUAAAAUCUAGCGUGGAAACUGAGGUGCUCCUAGACCACAGUGGGGUAUCAGGAGGAGGAAGCUGCUCCCCUUCCCCUCCCUGGCUCUGGCCUGGCAGCGUGGAGUGAGUUCCCCUCCCCACCUCCAGCUUCUCCCUCUAGGCAGAGAUGGGUCUUACUGGCACCACACAGACCCCUGGGUAGGUGGGAGAGCAGGUCUUUUUCCUGGGAGGAGGAACUUGGCCUUGGACACACCCACACCGCCCAUGUCACUCCUCAGUUCUUUUUUUUUUUGAGACGGAGUCUCGCUCUGUUGCCCAGGCUGGAGUGCGGUGGCGUGAUCGCUGCUCACUGCAAGCUCCACCUCCCAGGUUCACGCCAUUCUCAUGCCUCAGCCUCCCAAGUAGCUGGGACUACAGGUGCCGGCCACCACGCCCGGCUAAUUUUUUUGUAUUUUUAGUAGAGACGUGGUUUCACCAUGUUAGCCAGGAUGGUCUCGAUUUCCUGACCUUGUGAUCCGCCUGCCUGGGCCUCCCAAAGUGCUGGGAUUACAGGCGUGAGCCACCGCGCCCGGCCUGUCACUCCUCAGUUCUAACUCAUGAAGCAAUCAGGGUUCUUGGGCCCUGUGACCUGGAACCAUUCUGCUGCACCUGCACUGAGGGUUCAAGGACUCCUCACUGUAGGCCACGCCUGGUCCUCUUCUGGUCACCAGCCCGCAAGCAGCAGCUGGGCUGAGGGGACUGGCAGACCUGGGUCCUCAGCUUCCCUGGGCCUUGGUUUCUCCAUCUCCAUCUGCAUCUGAGAGUGACAGGCAGGCGGGCAUCUCGCGCGGGGGGCGGGAGAGCGAGAGCCGCAGAUGCACAGUCCGCUUCCUGGAUGCUGGACCAGGUGGUCCAGUUUUCAAGGCUUGUGUUUUUGGGGGACUCUUGAUCAGAUGGGACCACUCCCCGCAGGCCAUUCUUUGUGGCUGCAGUGGCACUGAGCUCUCUCAGACUCCCUGGCUGCCCAUGACCUCGGGAGCCCACUUCCGUCGGGACCUGCCUCCUCACCUUCCCGUGCCUGUGGUGCUGGUACUGUGUCUGCCCCCUCUUCUGGGGGAUGUCCUCCCACCACCCUGCACAUCACUGCCCUUUUAAAUUCUUUCUGAAAUGGGGUCUCGCUGUCGCCCAGGCUGGAGUGCAGCGGUGUGAUCACAGCUCACUGUAACCUCCGUCUCCUGGACUCAAGCAAUUCUCCCACCUCAGCCUCCCAAGGAACUGGGACUAUAGGUGCGCACCACAAUGCCUGGUUAAUUUUUUAUUUUUUAGAGAUGGGGCCUUGCUAUGUUGCCCAGGCUGGUCUUGAACUCCCGGGUUCAAGCGAUCCUCCUGCCUUGGCCUCCC
rnacentral:lncRNA from 10 species